rnacentral:lncRNA from 1 species
CAUUCAGCUUCGAGAUGAAAUCGAGGAGCUCAUCAAGUGGGGUCGGCUCGACAGAUUCAUCCGAUGCCAGCCUGAAGGUAGGGAGGAUCGACUGAGGGCCCUGCCACAACCGAAGCUGUCAAGGAGGAAAGAACAGCCUAGAGAUUGGCCUCCAAUCAGGAUCAUCAAUACCAUCUCUGGAGGGCCCCGAAGGGGAGCGGCUAG